UACAGAGGUGCAAGCGUUGUUCGGAAUUAUUGGCGUAAAGGGCGCGUAGCGGUACGGUAAGUCACCUGUGAAACCUCUGGGCUAACUCAGAGCCUGCAGGCGAAACUGCCGUGCUUGAGUUGUGGGAGAGGUGCGUGGAAUUCCCGGUGUAGCAGUGAAAUGCGUAGAUAUCGGGAGGAACACCUGUGGCUGAAAGCGGACGCACUGGACCACAACUGACGCUGGAGGCGACGAAAGCUAGGGGAGCAAACAGG
rnacentral:rRNA from 1 species